rnacentral:rRNA from 1 species
UACGUAGGGUGCAAGCGUUGUCCGGAAUUAUUGGGCGUAAAGAGCUCGUAGGCGGUUUGUCGCGUCUGCUGUGAAAACCCGAGGCUCAACCUCGGGCCUGCAGUGGGUACGGGCAGACUAGAGUGCGGUAGGGGAGAUUGGAAUUCCUGGUGUAGCGGUGAAAUGCGCAGAUAUCGGGAGGAACACCGGUGGCGAAGGCGGUUCUCUGGGCCUGACCUGACGCUGAGGAGCGAAAGCGUGGGGAGCGAACAGG